rnacentral:lncRNA from 1 species
UAGGGGACAUAGGAAAUGGGUACAAAUUCAUAGAACAUUAGAGUUUGAGGGGCCAUUGCCAAGACUAAGAACUGCUACCAUUUAUUGUCAUCCCUUGUCAGCCAGACAUGUAGGUUCAUUUCCACAAUCUUACUCAGCCCAUGCAAUACGGCUAUUAUUAAACCAAUUUUUACAGAUGAGUCAACUGAGCCUUGGAAAUUGACUAGCUCAAGGUCCCUCAGUGAGUAAAUGUCAGAGCCCGAAUUGAAAGUCAGGGCUGUCUCACUCCCAAAGGGUGCUCCUCCCUUGUUUUAUAGCCAGCAGCCUGAGGCUGACUGUGCCAAGUGCCAAAUGAAUGUAACAACUAUUCUCCUCUGAGAAGUCAGCUCUUUGAGGACAGACGGAAGCCAGCCUCCUGGGAAAUGAGCCUAACAGGUAUAGAAGGGGCAGCCAACACAAGAGUCCUCUGGGACCCAGAAGAGAAAAAAAUUUAGGCUCAGGCUGAAAAGAAAAAAAGACGGCAGCAACAGCCAAGUUACCCUGAGGAGGGCAUAUUCAGGGAACAUCAGAGGCUAGGCUAAGGCUAAGCUUAGGUGGUCCAGUUAGGACCUAAAGCAAUGGACAUUUACCAUGAAUCUUUCAUGCCGGGGACGAUGCUAGAGCAAAUGUGAAGUGUUGGCUGUGGUGAAUAAAUGAGCAAAUGAAGGCACUGGUGGUAAGUGCUGGGGUAUGACAAUGACUAAUAGCAAAGGGUGUGAGGGAGUGAAAAAAAUGCGUGCGCUGAGACAGAGGCCUGGAUUUGAAUCCUGGCUCUUGCCUUUAUAUGACCUUGGGCAAGUUCUUUAUCCUUUCUGUGCCACAGUUUUCUCCUGUGCAAAAUAGGGAUUAAAAUGGCAUGUAUCUUUCAGGAUAUCACAAGGAAUAUGUAAGAUAUUAUACAUCAAGUGGUUAGAACGCUGGCUGGCACAUUGUAAGUACUCAGCAUUUGCUGGCUUUGUAGAAAAUAAGGCUUUGAGAAGCAUCUAAUAUUGUGCCUGGUACCUACUUGGCAACCCAUAAGUGGUAACUCUUACGAUUAACAAGGGACAGCUCCCAUCCUUAGAGUGAUACUGCCUCAGGGUAAUCUGUCCCUCGGUGGAUUGAAGGAGCAGUGGACCCUGACCCUGCUUAGCAAUAAACAACAUUUUAUGUAACUCAAUCAAAGUACAAAGGGUCUUCAUGUACUCUGCCCAUUUCAUGACCCAUAUGAGAUUUAAAAAGCCACAAAAACUGUGUGGCUCCAAAAGACAUUUCUGUACAAAGACCUGAGUUCAAAUGGCCAACCUGCCACUAAUACACUCUGUGGCUGUGAGAAGCCCCUUCCUCUCCCCAGGCUGGCUCCUGGGCCUACAGCUGAAAGGAUUUGCCUGCCCAGGCUUUAUGGCCCUUGCAGCUUUGAUAGUCCUGCAUUCUCUUUUGCAGGUCAGAGGAGAGACAGGCCUCGACCACGCAGUUUCAGUGACUCAGGCUUCAUGGGAGAGUAAGAAUGUGAAAAAUCCAUCUCUCCCUAAUUGAAAUCUCAAGAUACAUAUUUCCUGUCAGUCCUGGAAAGAAAUAGCAGAAAAUCCAUCAUCCACACAUAAAUUGUGUCAAUUCCCUUGUCCUGUACAAGUUACUUUGGGGCACAGGGCCCAUCAGUCACAGAUGGGACUUCCCAUCUCACAGCUGUGUGACCAUCAGGAGUACACUGCUGCCUUCCACCCCUGCUGUCCCUAACCAUGCUGGACAAUGUGUCAGUAAAGUAACCUAGUGCCCUGGAGUUGGGCUAGAGCAAUCCCAGAUUACUGUGGGGUUAACUUACACUGGAUAAAUGCCAACUCUCUCUCCUCUUCCCCCAGGAUGGGAAAGGCAGGCAGCUUGACAAGGACAAGCGUUGACCAGCAAUGCUAGCAGAAA